AUGACUAGCAGCAGUCUUCUCAGAAAAGAUGUCAAAAAUAAAGAAAUUAGGAGUAUAACAUUUUGGUGACACAACAUCUACAGAACAUGUUAUGCAAGACUUAGGCGGAGAGAAACUUGAUCCACUUGAAGAUGCUAGAAUCACUGAAUACCUCUUGACUGAUGUCAAGGUGCUAUGCAUCAUCUCACAUGAUCACAUUGAACCUGAGUUCAAUGAAGGGUCACAGUCUUUCCUUUUACUUUAUGGAAAACUGGAUCUGGAUUUUAGUGGGGCUUUCCAUUAGUGACCUCUGACUAAUUUAGGGUAUAUAGUGUUGAGAGUUAUUUGAAAUGUAUUUAUAGCAAAGUAAGUAAGUAGAGCUACUGAUUGCACACCCCAACUUAAAACCCAACAGUCCUAUGAUUUAGGCUAAUAUAAUACACCAUUGGAAGCUGAUUAUUUUCGCUAGUUAAGCCAUAAAGCUGCACUUAAAUAUGAAUAAUAAAAAAAUGGACUAUUAAUAAUAAUUAUUGCAAAUGUCACUGAUUUCAGAUUAUAAAACUUAAUAGACUAUCACCAUUAAAACAUGUGCUCUCCAUAAUUAUGCUGUGUACCAACUUGUGCUUGAUUCUGUCUUUGUGAGUUAUUUCAAUGCUCCUUUCAAAGCUUAUGGAAAAUUUUCUUUAAAGAAGAAAACAGUUGUUUUAUAGGCAGCUUGGGAGGGUUUUAAGGGAAGAACCCUUUUCUGUUCAAGGCUUUUUGACAGAAUCAAAAUAGAAGAAAAAUCUAAAUAUUUUCCUCACUGUAAAUAUCUGUGUUACCGACCCCAGGGCUCGGUACUGGGGCCGGUCCUCUUUAACAUCUUCAUCAAUGAUCUGGAUGAGGGCAUUGAGUGCACCCUCAGUAAGUUUGCAGAUGACACCAAGCUAGGUGCGUGUGUCGAUCUGCUUGAGGGUAGGAAGGCUCUGCAGGAGGAUCUGGAUAGGCUGCACCGAUGGGCUGAGGUCAACUGUAUGAAGUUUAACAAGGCCAAGUGCCGGGUCCUGCACCUGGGGCGCAAUAACCCCAAGAAGAGCUACAGGCUGGGAGAGGAAUGGCUGGAGAGCUGCCAGGCAGAGAAGGACCUGGGAGUGAUGGUGGACAGUCGGCUGAAUAUGAGCCAGCAGUGUGCUCAGGUGGCCAAGAAGGCCAACGGCGUCCUGGCUUGUAUCAGAAACACUGUGACCAGCAGGGCUAGGGAGGUGAUCGUCCCCCUGUACUCGGCUCUGGUGAGGCCGCACCUCGAGUACUGUGUUCAGUUCUGGGCCCCUCGCUACAAGAAGGACAUCGAGUACUGUGUUCAGUUUUGGGCCCCUUGCUACAAGAAGGACAUCGAGGUGCUUGAGCAGGUCCAGAGAAGGGUGAUGAAGCUGGUGAGGGGUCUGGAGAACAAGUCCUACAAGGAGCGGCUGAGGGAGUUGGGCUUGUUCAGCCUGGAGAAAAGGAGGCUCAGGGGCGACCUUAUUGCUCUCUACAGAUACCUUAAAGGAGGCUGUAGCAAGGUGGGGGUUGGCCUGUUCUCCCACAUGCCUGGUGACAGAACGAGGGGGAAUGGGCUUAAGUUGCACCAGGGUUUUUUUAGGUUGGAUGUUAGGAAGAACGUCUUUACCGAAAGGGUUGUUAGACAUUGGAACGGGCUGCCCAGGGAGGUGGUGGAGUCACCAUCCCCGGAAGUCUUUAAAAGACAUUUAGAUGUAGAGCUUAGGGAUAUGGUUUAGUGGGGACUUAGUGUUAGGUCAGAGGUUGGACUCAAUGAUCUUGAGGUCUCUUCCAACCUAGAGGUUCUGUGAUUCUGUGAUCAUCACCAUGACUGUGUAUUCCUGAAGGGAAAUAAUGGUUAUAAAUAUAGCCCAAGAAUGAAACCAAGCUUAAGUGAUUUGUA
rnacentral:lncRNA from 1 species